rnacentral:rRNA from 1 species
GUCUGCUUGGAGAUAUAAGGAGUCUAGCCUGCUCUCUGAUAAUUAUUUAAGGGCCGCGGUAAUUUGACCGUGCAAAGGUAGCGUAAUAGUUAGUUUUUUAAUUGGAAUCUUGUAUGAAUGGUUGGAUAAAAGAAAUUCUGUCUCUAUAAUUUUUAUUGAAUUUAACUUUUAAGUGAAAAGGCUUAAAUAUUUUAAAAAGACGAUAAGACCCUAUAAAGCUUUAUAAUUAAGUUUAUUUAAUUAAAUUAAUAAAUAAAAUUUUAAUAGAUUAUAUUAUUUUAUUGGGGAGAUAAAAUUAUAAUUUUAGAUAACUGUUAGUGAUUAGCACAAUUUAUAGAUGAGUAAGAGUAGUAAAAGAUCCUAUAGUAGGGAUUAAAAGUUUAAGUUACUUUAGGGAUAACAGCGUUAUUUUUUUUAAGAGUUCAUAUCGAAAAAAAAGAUUGCGACCUCGAUGUUGAAUUAAAAUUUCUAAAUAAUUGCAGAAGUUAUUUUAGGGGGUCUGUUCGACCUUAAAUUUUACUAUUCAACC